AUUGAACGCUGGCGGUAUGCCUUACACAUGCAAGUCGAACGGUAGAGGGGCAACCCUUGAGAGUGGCGAACGGGUGAGUAAUACAUCGGAACGUGCCCAGUCGUGGGGGAUAACGUAGCGAAAGCUACGCUAAUACCGCAUACGACCCGAGGGUGAAAGCGGGGGACUCGCAAGGGCCUCGCGCGAUUGGAGCGGCCGAUGGCAGAUUAGGUAGUUGGUGGGGUAAAGGCCCACCAAGCCUGCGAUCUGUAGCUGGUCUGAGAGGACGACCAGCCACACUGGGACUGAGACACGGCCCAGACUCCUACGGGAGGCAGCAGUGGGGAAUUUUGGACAAUGGGCGAAAGCCUGAUCCAGCCAUACCGCGUGCGGGAAGAAGGCCUUCGGGUUGUAAACCGCUUUUGUCAGGGAAGAAAUCUUCUGGGUUAAUACCUCGGGAGGAUGACGGUACCUGAAGAAUAAGCACCGGCUAACUACGUGCCAGCCGCCGCGGUAA
rnacentral:rRNA from 1 species